GAACUAGAGACCGGCGCACGGGUGCGUAACGCGUAUGCAACUUGCCCUACUGAAAAGGAUAGCCCUUCGAAAGGAGGAUUAAUACUUUAUAAUAGAAAUCAUGGCAUCAUGAAUUUUUGAAAGAUUUAUCGCAGUAGGAUAGGCAUGCGUAAGAUUAGUUAGUUGGUGAGGUAACGGCUCACCAAGACGAUGAUCUUUAGGGGGCCUGAGAGGGUGAACCCCCACACUGGUACUGAGACACGGACCAGACUCCUACGGGAGGCAGCAGUGAGGAAUAUUGGACAAUGGGUGGAAGCCUGAUCCAGCCAUCCCGCGUGUAGGAUGACGGCCUUAUGGGUUGUAAACUACUUUUAUCUGGGGAUAAACCUACUUACGUGUAAGUAGCUGAAGGUACCAGAAGAAUAAGCACCGGCUAACUCCGUGCCAGCAGCCGCGGUAAUACGGAGGGUGCAAGCGUUAUCCGGAUUUAUUGGGUUUAAAGGGUCCGUAGGCGGAUUAAUCAGUCAGUGGUGAAAUCUCAUAGCUUAACUAUGAAACUGCCAUUGAUACUGUUAGUCUUGAGUGAUGUUGAAGUUGCUGGAAUGUGUAGUGUAGCGGUGAAAUGCUUAGAUAUUACGCAGAACACCAAUUGCGAAGGCAGGUGACUAAACAUCAACUGACGCUGAUGGACGAAAGCGUGGGGAGCGAGAGGAUGAGAUCCCUGGUAGUCCACG
rnacentral:rRNA from 1 species